AACAAACGCUGGCGGCGUGUCUUAAGCAUGCAAGUUGAGCGGCAAGGAGGAGAGAUCCUCCCUAGAGCGGCGGACUGGUGAGUAACGCGUGGGUAAUCUAUCGUAGGCAUGGGGAUAGUCACUAGAAAUAGUGGGUAAUACCGAAUACGUUCCAUGAGGGGAGUACUUAUGGAAGAAAGGGUGCUACGGCACUGGCCUUAGGUGAGCUCGCGUCCCAUUAGCUAGUUGGUGAGGUAAAGGCCCACCAAGGCGAUGAUGGGUAGCCGGCCUGAGAGGGUGUACGGCCACACUGGGACUGAGAUACGGCCCAGACUCCUACGGGAGGCAGCAGCUAAGAAUAUUCCGCAAUGGACGAAAGUCUGACGGAGCGACGCCGCGUGGAUGAAGAAGGCCGAAAGGUUGUAAAGUUCUUUUGCUAGGGGAGAAUAAGUGAGGAGGGAAUGCCCUCAUGAUGACAAGGACUAGCGAAUAAGCCCCGGCAACUACGUGCCAGCAGCCGAC
rnacentral:rRNA from 1 species